rnacentral:rRNA from 2 species
UGGGGAAUAUUGCACAAUGGAGGGAACUCUGAUGCAGCGACGCCGCGUGAACGAAGAAGGCUUUCGAGUCGUAAAGUUCUUUUAUAUGGGAAGAUAAUGACGGUACCAUAAGAAAAAGCCCCGGCAAACUACGUGCCAGCAGCCGCGGUAAUACGUAGGGGGCUAGCGUUGUCCGGAAUCACUGGGCGUAAAGGGUUCGCAGGCGGAAAUGCAAGUCAGGUGUAAAAGGCAGUAGCUUAACUACUGUAAGCAUUUGAAACUGCAUAUCUUGAGAAGAGUAGAGGUAAGUGGAAUUUUUAGUGUAGCGGUGAAAUGCGUAGAUAUUAAAAAGAAUACCGGUGGCGAAGGCGACUUACUGGGCUCAUUCUGACGCUGAGGAACGAAAGCGUGGGUAGCAAACAGG